rnacentral:tRNA from 1 species
GCCCAGCUAGCUCAGUCAGUAGAACAUGAGACUCAUAAUCUCAGGGUCAUGGGUUCAAGCCCCACAUUGGGCA